GAUGAACGCUAGCGGCGUGCCUAAUACAUGCAAGUCGAGCGCAGGAAGCCGUCUGAACCCUUCGGGGGGACGACGGUGGAAUGAGCGGCGGACGGGUGAGUAACACGUAAAGAACCUGCCCAUAGGUCUGGGAUAACCACGAGAAAUCGGGGCUAAUACCGGAUGUGUCAUCGGACCGCAUGGUCCGCUGAUGAAAGGCGCUCCGGCGUCGCCCAUGGAUGGCUUUGCGGUGCAUUAGCUAGUUGGUGGGGUAACGGCCCACCAAGGCGACGAUGCAUAGCCGACCUGAGAGGGUGAUCGGCCACACUGGGACUGAGACACGGCCCAGACUCCUACGGGAGGCAGCAGUAGGGAAUCUUCCACAAUGGACGAAAGUCUGAUGGAGCAACGCCGCGUGAACGAUGAAGGCUUUCGGGUCGUAAAGUUCUGUUGUAAGGGAAGAACAAGUGCCGCAGGCAAUGGCGGCACCUUGACGGUACCUUGCGAGAAAGCCACGGCUAACUACGUGCCAGCCGCCGCAGUAAUAC
rnacentral:rRNA from 1 species